rnacentral:rRNA from 1 species
GACGAACGCUGGCGGCGUGGAUUAGGCAUGCAAGUCGGACGGUAGGGCUUUAUCGUAAGAUAGAGUUCGAGAGUGGCGAACGGGUGAGUAACACGUAGGAAUCUACCCUUAAGACGGGGACAACCCAGGGAAACUUGGGCUAAUACCGGAUGAGAGUGCGAGAGAUUGCAUUUAAAAGGAUGGCGAAAGUUGUCGCUUAGGGAUGAGCCUGCGGUCUAUUAGUUAGUUGGUGAGGUAAGAGCUCACCAAGGCGAUGAUAGAUAGGCGGCCUUAACGGGUGGUCGCCCACACUGGGAUUGAGAUACGGCCCAGACUCCUACGGGAGGCAGCAGCAGGGAAUCUUGGGCAAUGGGGGAAACCCUGACCCAGUGACGCCGCGUGCAGGAAGGAGCCCUUCGGGGUGUAAACUGCUGUCGUGUAGGGAGAAGGGUACUAAGGUGAACAAUCUUAGUACUUGACGGUACUACAGGAGGAAGCCCAGGCUAACCUCGUG